rnacentral:rRNA from 1 species
AAUAUUGCACAAUGGUGGAAACCCUGAUGCAGCGACGCCGCGUGAUUGAAGAAGUAUUUCGGUAUGUAAAGCUCUAUUAGCAGGGAAGAAUAUGAAGGUACCUGACUAAGAACCCCUGGCUUACUACGUGCCAGCAGCCGCGGUAAUAAGUAGGGGGCAAGCGUUAGCCGGAUUUACUGGGUGUAAAGGGAGCGUAGGUGGUUCGGCAAGUCAGAUGUGAAAGCCCGGGGCUCAACCCCGGGACUGCAUUUGAACCUGUCGUACUAGAGUGCAGGAGAGGUAAGUGGAAUUCCUAGUGUAGCGGUGAACUGCGUAGAUAUUAGGAGGAACACCAGUGGCGAAGGCGGCUUACUGGACUGUAACUGACACUGAGGCUCGAAAGCGUGGGGAGCAAACAGG